rnacentral:ncRNA from 1 species
AGAAAGAUUAUGAUGGGAAGAGUAGAUUAGGAAGGUAGUUUAAGCGAGUCGGAGACGGUGGGAGUCCGAUACGAUAGCCUAAUUGAAGAACAUCCCGGAGUUUCUAACCGAAAUCCUGAUGGAGAGUAGACUUAGACGCAGCCAAAGCGUUAAAGUUGGGCGAUAUCGAAUAUUAUAUUGAUUGAUAUUCCGUAUCGGCAGAGUGAACCAGGUGUUAAUUUGGGUGGUACCGCGGAAGUAUUCCUUUCGUCCCUUGU